rnacentral:rRNA from 1 species
AUUGAACGCUGGCGGCAGGCUUAACACAUGCAAGUCGAGCGAGCGGCGGACGGGUGAGUAAUGUCUGGGAAACUGCCUGAUGGAGGGGGAUAACUACUGGAAACGGUAGCUAAUACCGCAUACCAUCAGAUGUGCCCAGAUGGGAUGAUCUAGUAGGUGGGGUAAUGGCUCACCUAGGCCACGAUCCCUAGCUGGUCUGUGAGGAGGACCGGCCACACUGGAACGGAAACACGGUCCAGACUCCAACGGGAGGCGGCAGUGGGGAAUAUUGCACAAUGGGCGCAAGCCUGAUACAGCCAUGCCGCGUGUGUGAAGAAGGCAUUCGGGUUGUAGAGCUCAUUCAGCGAUGAGGCGUUACUCGCAGAAGAAGCACCGGCUAACUCCGUGCCAGCAGCCGCGGUAAUAC